rnacentral:rRNA from 1 species
GACGAACGCUGGCGGCGUGCUUAACACAUGCAAGUCGAACGGAAAGGCCCUGCUUUUGUGGGGUGCUCGAGUGGCGAACGGGUGAGUAACACGUGAGUAACCUGCCCUUGACUUUGGGAUAACUUCAGGAAACUGGGGCUAAUAUCGGAUAGGAGAUCCUGCUGCAUGGUGGGGGUUGGAAAGUUUCGGCGGUUGGGGAUGGACUCGCGGCUUAUCAGCUUGUUGGUGGGGUAGUGGCUUACCAAGGCUUUGACGGGUAGCCGGCCUGAGAGGGUGACCGGCCACAUUAGUACUGAGGUACGGCCCAGACUCCAACGGGAGGCAGCGGUGGGGAAUAUUGCACAAUGGGCGGAAGCCUGAUGCAGCAACGCCGCGUGCGUGAUGACGGCCUUCGGGUUGUAAACCGCUUUCGCCUGUGACGAAGCGUGAGUGACGGUAAUGGGUAAAGAAGCACCGGCUAACUACGUG